rnacentral:rRNA from 1 species
GAACGAACGCUGGCGGCAGGCCUAACACAUGCAAGUCGAACGUGAAGCAGGAGCUUGCUCCUGUGGAAAGUGGCAGACGGGUGAGUAACGCGUGGGAAUUUGCCCAGUGGUACGGAAUAACUCAUGGAAACGUGAGCUAAUACCGGAUACGCCCUCCGGGGGAAAGAUUUAUCGCCAUUGGAUGAGCCCGCGUCGGAUUAGCUUGUUGGUGAGGUAAAAGCUCACCAAGGCGACGAUCCGUAGCUGGUCUGAGAGGAUGAUCAGCCACACUGGGACUGAGACACGGCCCAGACUCCUACGGGAGGCAGCAGUGGGGAAUAUUGCACAAUGGGCGCAAGCCUGAUGCAGCCAUGCCGCGUGAGUGAUGAAGGCCUUAGGGUUGUAAAACUCUUUCGCCAGGGAAGAUAAUGACGGUACCUGGUAAAGAAGCCCCGGCCAACUCCGUGCCAGCAGCCGCGGUAAUACGGAGGGGGCUAGCGUUGUUCGGAAUUACUGGGCGUAAAGCGCGCGUAGGCGGGCUGGUUAGUUGGGGGUGAAAUCCCGAGGCUUAUCCUGGGAAUUGCGUUUGAAACGGGCAGGCUUGAGGCCGGGAGAGGGUAGUGGAAUUCCCAGUGUAGAGGUGAAAUUCGUAGAUAUUGGGAAGAACACCAGUGGCGAAAGGCGGCUCACUGGCUCGAUACUGACGCUGAGCGCGAAAAGCGUGGGGGAGCAAACAGAUAGAUACCUGGUAGUCCACGCCGUAAACGAUGAAUGCUAGCUGUCGGCAGGCAUGCCUGUCGGUGGCGCAGCUAACGCAUUAAGCAUUCCGCUGGGGAGUACGGUCGCAAGAUUAAAACUCAAAGGAAUUGACGGGGGCCCGCACAGCGGUGGAGCAUGUGGUUUAAUUCGAGGCAACGCGAAGAACCUUACCAGCCCUUGACAUCCCGGUCGCGGAUCGCAGAGAUGCUUUCCUUCAGUUCGGCUGGACCGGUGACAGGUGCUGCAUGGUUGUCGUCAGCUCGUGUCGUGAGAUGUUGGGUUAAGUCCCGCAACGAGCGCAACCCUCGCCUUUAGUUGCCAGCCUUAAGUUGGGCACUCUAGAGGGACUGCCGGUGAUAAGCCGGAGGAAGGUGGGGAUGACGUCAAAUCAUCAUGGCCCUUACGGGCUGGGCUACACACGUGCUACAAUGGCGGUGACAGUGAGCAGCCACUCAGCAAUGAGGAGCUAAUCUCUAAAAGCCGUCUCAGUUCGGAUUGUUCUCUGCAACUCGAGAGCAUGAAGUUGGAAUCGCUAGUAAUCGUGGAUCAGCAUGCCACGGUGAAUACGUUCCCGGGCCUUGUACACACCGCCCGUCACACCAUGGGAGUUGGCUUUACCCGAAGACGAUGAGCUAACUUCGGAGGCAAUCGGCCACGGUAGGAUCAGCGACUGGGGU